rnacentral:antisense_RNA from 1 species
CCUAGUUUAGGCUCGAAAAUUUUAUCUUAGGCACAAAUGUAAAUUUAGAGUCUUAAGAGGAAGUUAUAUUAAACUGUUAUUUUAUAGGGAGUUAAAGUAAGAAAUGGUACACCCGAGUGGACUCGAACCACCGACCCCUACCA